ACUGUAUGAAAAAAAAGUAUCCUAAUCAAAUAUUCUUUUAUAAAAACAGGACAAAAUAAACACCAUGAAUAUACGUUCACAAAAACAUCUGAAUAUUUAAUGAAAUAAAAAAUACAGGGAAACAUUUCAGAAUAUCUAAAUUUUUAUUGUGAAGUUUUACAAAUUGCAGACAACAACAUUUGUCGCCAUUGGCUUUGCUUAGUUGGGGACAUUUUUAUUUAAUAUUCAACAAUGUUAUUGAACUGCCUGCAUUGACACCAUUAUAUGAGAUCUGAACUGAGAUGGACAAUGACAUCACGGUUUUGGCUUGGAGUUAAUCCAUGCUUCUUUGGGCAUGCAUGAUGUGAAACGAGUGGUCGCAAAACCACCGGGCUUUCCCGUGUUAUUGUCAGCAGCUGGUUAUCCUUCCAUGUUGAAAGGGCCUAAGGACGGGAAUCCGAUUGAGGAACACCCCAGAAAUGGCUCGGCUACGAUGUUCCGAUAAAGAAGUCACGCCGGGUGUUGAAUAUUGUCAGAUUCAGAUGCAUCAAUGAGAGUCAGUAAUGCAGUGGAUAACUAUGAGGAUGAUCACAUCCACAUGCCCCACAGCUGUGAUGCAGAAUCACAAUGGGAGGAUCAAUCUGUCUUUGGCCACAACCUGAUCUUCUCAGAGAGACUCUCCAGCGUCUUGAUGCUCUUUAGCGAAAGUAUGAGCAGCACAGACUAACGUUACAUGAAGAAUCUUACAACGCUUCGAAAAGAAUAAAAAGGGCACAUGACGUGAACAUUGCGGAAUCUGUAAGGCGCCUCCAUAAUUCAGAGAACAACCCACACAAAUACGUUCCACAAACCAGAAUAAGUUCAUCACAUAACCUGGCUGUGACCACUUACCUCUUCGAAGAAUUAAGGUCAACUUUUACAGAAGUUGACCCUGAAUGUGUAAAAGCAGGUUGGAAGAUGUAUUUUGAGACUUUGCGGAGGAAGUAUUCUUUGGCUCAGCCUGAAAAGGCCCAGAAAAGAAAAACUAUGACAAGCAUUGCAAAGAACCUUCAAAGAAAGCGACUGUUGCUGGAGACCAGGUCCGGGGUUGUACAAACCAACACAGAAAAGGAACUUUGGAAGACCGCAACAAUAGAACUGAUGUCUGAUGAAGAUGAUGCUAUUGUUGAUGGAAGGCCAGUGUGAAUGGUGAGGUCUCCACCAAUCUGUUCUCUGCUAGGUACUAUAAAACAGACUAGAGGCUGACCCACACUAUGCGUCACACCACCAGCGUAUCAUGGCAGUUUGAAAAAUGUUAACUCGUA